CUUUAUGUCUCCUCGUAUCCUCCAGGCACCAAGAGUGUACCGCAGCCAGAUUGUGAACAAGUCCAGCCCCAUUUCUAGCCAACUCAGCACAGGUGUCAUCUUUGUACCUGCAACAAUUUCCACAAAAAUAAUGGAAACACUGACCAUCUCUCAACAUGGAGGCUGUUGAAGAGGAUGCGGGCAGCUCUCCUGGUUAGCAGCUUAAAUCCACAUUGUGUGUCCCGCACACCCCGCACGGCAAACAGCCAUACUAAGGCAUGGAAGCCGUACAUGAGCACUGUACGAAAGAAUGAGCGCGUGGCCACCGACUCCUCCUCCAGGUGAGCCCGAGAGCCACAGGACACCGCCAGUGCAUCACUCAGCUCUCUUUCCUCUGACAGCAAGAUUAUUAGUUAGGUUGCUGAAAACUUACUUCAUGCUGCCUACUAACAUGCUGCACAUGAAUACCAAACAAGAUUAGAUGAAAAAGUUUACCCAUGAUUCUUUUUUCUGCCAAAUAAUGAGACACAGGCAUUAACAAUCUAUAAAGAAUUUCUACAGCAAAAAAUAUAAAUAUCAAGGAAAUUAAUACUUGCCUUUACAAUGGAUUUAAAUGUAACAUACUGUCAAACAAGGACACUCUGGCCUUAAUUAAUUUUAAGUAAAGAAAAUGACCAAUUAUAAAUUUAUGAAAUUAUCAAUUCUAAAACUGGUAAUUGGGGGAAUCUUUUCAUCAAAAUAUCAAUAAUAAAAAGAUGUUCCAUUUAGCUUCCCUCUAAAAUCAUAGUCAUACAAUUUUUUGUUAUAUACAUACAAUACUAUCAAUCUGAAGACUUUUUGAGCCUAAAAAGACUGAGCAUCAAACUUUGAUAACCCAGGCCAAAGAGCCAGUCAAACCUUUGCACUUAUUCCUCAGGCCCUCCUCCACUCGGUCAUACUCAGAGAAGGUAGUGGCCCCAUCAGCAUCGGCAAAGAGCAACAACUUUCCUCGCCCCCGAAACAUCCCCUGAAAACAACAAUCUUUACUUCAAUGUCACUGUUCUCUUCACUGCAUUUCCUGCAAGAGUGGUGUAGAGAUCCAACCUCAGCAGAAUUAAUGGCAUGAGCUGGACUAUUAGACCAGUAAUUAAUAUUAACAAAAAUAUGAUCACAAAAGACAUGCUUCUCAAGGUAUUUAAUCAGUAGAGAAGCAGUAAAUAGUAACAGACUUCACUUGGGUCACCAGUAGUCAUUUAUAGCACAUCAGUGUUUGAAUUGUGAUUACUAACAAUAUUACUAUUUACCAUAUUACCUGGUUCCUGCAGAUCAAUUUUUUUUUUAUCAGAAAAUGUAGGCUUUUACCUCUCUCUCUCUCUCUCUCUCUCUCUGUUGGUUAGUGAUUCAUUCUACUACAACUGCAGUUUUUACAAUUAGUAUUUACCAUUCUAACUGCUCCUCCUUUCCCUCUAUUCCAAGCCAGCGUAAGAACGCGAACUUUCUCACAGCCAAACUUCUUGCUGUAACCCAUUGCAACCUCAGUGGUUUUGUCUUUACUACCAUCAUCAACAAUGAUCAUCUCAUAGGUGAAGGUAUUGUCUUUCUUCACCUUCUCCUCCAGAUACGUCAGACUCUCCUCCAGCAUCACAGGCACUGAGAGAAGAUGGAUUAUCAAACGAUUUUCAUGCCGAAACAAAUUUUGAUGAAACAUGGAACUAUGAACAAAUAAACAAUAAGAGGCUUUUUAAACAUUAGCAGCCAAAUAGUAAUUGAACAAUUAUAAUGAUUCAAAAUACUAAAUAAAAAAAAUGGAGCUGAAAAUUUAUCAAUUUUAAAAUCACAAAUGUGCAAAAUGUAGAUCAUCAUACAUAAAUAAUGGGAAUUCAUUAUCACAAAUACCAUGAAGUUCUAUACUAUGAAAAGCAACAAACAACAGUAAAACCUCCAGGCCCUCACAUCUCUUUUCCUCAUUGUAAGCCGGCACCACAACAGUCAGGGAUAUGCUUGGCUUGUCAGUGAUAGACGGGAAAGGCAACUUCUUCCCACUGGAGGGAUCGCUGAAGAAAUCCUCAGAUUCAUGGGAGGCAAUUGACGGGAAUGUCUCACUCAUUAAGUAGAUCCCCACACAUAUCUGUACAUGGCAAGGAUGAAAAGUGUUGGCUUUUAAGAUUAAAUAUGUGCAAGAAAAUCCUAAUAACAUUAAGCUUAGUAUGUACUGUGCGUGUAUUUUCAAAGAAAAUGAAUCCAAUAAAGAAUUUAUCCAUCAA